rnacentral:rRNA from 1 species
AGUCUGGUGCCAGCAGCCGCGGUAAUUCCAGCUCCAAUAGUGUAUAUUAAAGUUGCUGCAGUUAAAAAGCUCGUAGUUGGACUUCGGAUAAUAAAAAUUUAAUAUCCAUCCUUAAAAUGUGAUUUAAUUUUUAUUUCCUUCCUUUUGAAUACACUCCCUAAACUCUUUUAGGGAAUUAAGUGUUUCAAAUCGUUUACUGUGAAGAAAUUAGAGUGUUCAAAGCAGGCGUAACCUAGCCUUUGAAUAUAUUAGCAUGGGAUAAUGAGAUAGGACUUUAGUCCUACUUUCGUUGGUUUCUAGGGCUGAAGUAAUGAUUAAUAGGGAUAGUUGGGGUCACUAGUAUUUAAUUGUCAGAGGUGAAAUUCUAAGAUUUAUUAAAGACUAACUACUGCGAAAGCAUUUGACAAGGAUGUUUUCAUUAAUCAAGAACGAAAGUUGGGGGAUCGAAGAUGAUCAGAUACCGUCGUAGUCUCAACCAUAAACUAUGCCGACCAAGGAUCCGGGGUUGUUAAUAUGGAUGACUCUCCGGGCACUUAUAGAGAAAUCAUAAGUAUUUGGGCUCCGGGGGGAGUAUGGUCGCAAGGCUGAAACUUAAAGGAAUUGACGGAAGGGCACCACAAGGAGUGGAACCUGCGGUUUAAUUUGACCCAACACGGGGAAACUUACCAGGUCCAGACACAGUGAGGAUUGACAGAUUGAGAGUUCUUUCUUGAUUCUGUGAGUGGUGGUGCAUGGCCGUUUCUAGUUGGUGGAGUGAUUUGUCUGGUUAAUUCCGUUAACGAACGAGACCUUAACCUAUUAAAUAGUUGUUUGAACUUGAUUUUUUAAAUCAAAUGUUCAUUUAACUUCUUAGAGGGACUCUUCACUGAGAGAGUGAAUGGAAGUUUGAGGCAAAAACAGGUCUGUGAUGCCCUUAGAUGUUCUGGGCCACACGCGCGUUACACUGACAUAUUCAACGAGCAUUAUCCUUGCCCGUCGGGGUUGGGUAAUCUUUUAAAUGUAUGUCGUGCUGGGGAUAGAUCACUGUAAUUAUUGGUCUUGAACGAGGAAUUCCUAGUAAGUGCGAGUCAUCAACUCGCGCUGAUUACGUCCCUGCCCUUUGUACACACCGCCCGUCCUCCUACCGAUUGAAUGGUCCGGCGAGAACUCAGGAUGGAUAUGGAUUUUGGACCCGUUAGGUGUUCCAACCAUAUCCAGAAUUUGUUCAAACCUUACCAUUUAGAGGAAGGAGAAGU